GCGUGCUAAUCUGCGAUAAGCGCCGGUAAGGUGAUAUGAACCGUUAUAACCGGCGAUACCCGAAUGGGGAAACCCAGUGUGAUUCGUCACACUAUCAUUAACUGAAUCCAUAGGUUAAUGAGGCGAACCGGGGGAACUGAAACAUCUAAGUACCCCGAGGAAAAGAAAUCAACCGAGAUUCCCCCAGUAGCGGCGAGCGAACGGGGAGGAGCCCAGAGCCUGAAUCAGCAUGUGUGUUAGUGGAAGCGUCUGGAAAGGCGCGCGAUACAGGGUGACAGCCCCGUACACAAAAGCGCAUGUGCUGUGAGCUCGAUGAGUAGGGCGGGACACGUGGUAUCCUGUCUGAAUAUGGGGGGACCAUCCUCCAAGGCUAAAUACUCCUGACUGACCGAUAGUGAACCAGUACCGUGAGGGAAAGGCGAAAAGAACCCCGGCGAGGGGAGUGAAAAAGAACCUGAAACCGUGUACGUACAAGCAGUGGGAGCACCCUUCGGGGUGUGACUGCGUACCUUUUGUAUAAUGGGUCAGCGACUUAUAUUCUGUAGCAAGGUUAACCGUAUAGGGGAGCCGGAGGGAAACCGAGUCUUAAUUGGGCGUUAAGUUGCAGGGUAUAGACCCGAAACCCGGUGAUCUAGCCAUGGGCAGGUUGAAGGUUGGGUAACACUAACUGGAGGACCGAACCGACUAAUGUUGAAAAAUUAGCGGAUGACCUGUGGCUGGGGGUGAAAGGCCAAUCAAACCGGGAGAUAGCUGGUUCUCCCCGAAAGCUAUUUAGGUAGCGCCUCGUGAAUUCAUCUCCGGGGGUAGAGCACUGUUUCGGCUAGGGGGCCAUCCCGGCUUACCAACCCGAUGCAAACUGCGAAUACCGGAGAAUGUUAUCACGGGAGACACACGGCGGGUGCUAACGUCCGUCGUGAAGAGGGAAACAACCCAGACCGCCAGCUAAGGUCCCAAAGUCAUGGUUAAGUGGGAAACGAUGUGGGAAGGCCCAGACAGCCAGGAUGUUGGCUUAGAAGCAGCCAUCAUUUAAAGAAAGCGUAAUAGCUCACUGGUCGAGUCGGCCUGCGCGGAAGAUGUAACGGGGCUAAACCAUGCACCGAAGCUGCGGCAGCGAACGUAUCACCCAAGACAACUUUACGGAGUUGACGAUUGACGGAGCGAAGCGACGUCAAAGCGUUCAUUAAAGUCGAGUUGGCUUAGGGAUACGUUCGUUGGGUAGGGGAGCGUUCUGUAAGCCUGUGAAGGUGUGUCGUGAGGCAUGCUGGAGGUAUCAGAAGUGCGAAUGCUGACAUAAGUAACGAUAAAGCGGGUGAAAAGCCCGCUCGCCGGAAGACCAAGGGUUCCUGUCCAACGUUAAUCGGGGCAGGGUGAGUCGACCCCUAAGGCGAGGCCGAAAGGCGUAGUCGAUGGGAAACGGGUUAAUAUUCCCGUACUUGGUGUUACUGCGAAGGGGGGACGGAGAAGGCUAUGUUGGCCGGGCGACGGUUGUCCCGGUUUAAGCGUGUAGGUGUGUGUUCCAGGUAAAUCCGGUUCACUUUAACACUGAGGCGUGACGACGAGGCACUACGGUGCUGAAGCAACAAAUGCCCUGCUUCCAGGAAAAGCCUCUAAGCAUCAGGUAACAUCAAAUCGUACCCCAAACCGACACAGGUGGUCAGGUAGAGAAUACCAAGGCGCUUGAGAGAACUCGGGUGAAGGAACUAGGCAAAAUGGUGCCGUAACUUCGGGAGAAGGCACGCUGACACGUAGGUGAAGUGAUUUACUCAUGGAGCUGAAGUCAGUCGAAGAUACCAGCUGGCUGCAACUGUUUAUUAAAAACACAGCACUGUGCAAACACGAAAGUGGACGUAUACGGUGUGACGCCUGCCCGGUGCCGGAAGGUUAAUUGAUGGGGUCAGCGCAAGCGAAGCUCCUGAUCGAAGCCCCGGUAAACGGCGGCCGUAACUAUAACGGUCCUAAGGUAGCGAAAUUCCUUGUCGGGUAAGUUCCGACCUGCACGAAUGGCGUAAUGAUGGCCAGGCUGUCUCCACCCGAGACUCAGUGAAAUUGAACUCGCUGUGAAGAUGCAGUGUACCCGCGGCAAGACGGAAAGACCCCGUGAACCUUUACUAUAGCUUGACACUGAACAUUGAGCCUUGAUGUGUAGGAUAGGUGGGAGGCUUUGAAGUGUGGACGCCAGUCUGCAUGGAGCCGACCUUGAAAUACCACCCUUUAAUGUUUGAUGUUCUAACGUGGACCCGUAAUCCGGGUUGCGGACAGUGUCUGGUGGGUAGUUUGACUGGGGCGGUCUCCUCCUAAAGAGUAACGGAGGAGCACGAAGGUUGGCUAAUCCUGGUCGGACAUCAGGAGGUUAGUGCAAUGGCAUAAGCCAGCUUGACUGCGAGCGUGACGGCGCGAGCAGGUGCGAAAGCAGGUCAUAGUGAUCCGGUGGUUCUGAAUGGAAGGGCCAUCGCUCAACGGAUAAAAGGUACUCCGGGGAUAACAGGCUGAUACCGCCCAAGAGUUCAUAUCGACGGCGGUGUUUGGCACCUCGAUGUCGGCUCAUCACAUCCUGGGGCUGAAGUAGGUCCCAAGGGUAUGGCUGUUCGCCAUUUAAAGUGGUACGCGAGCUGGGUUUAGAACGUCGUGAGACAGUUCGGUCCCUAUCUGCCGUGGGCGCUGGAGAACUGAGGGGGGCUGCUCCUAGUACGAGAGGACCGGAGUGGACGCAUCACUGGUGUUCGGGUUGUCAUGCCAAUGGCACUGCCCGGUAGCUAAAUGCGGAAGAGAUAAGUGCUGAAAGCAUCUAAGCACGAAACUUGCCCCGAGAUGAGUUCUCCCUGAGACUUAGAGUCUCCUGAAGGAACGUUGAAGACGACGACGUUGAUAGGCCGGGUGUGUAAGCGCAGCGAUGCGUUGAGCUAACCGGUACUAAUGAACCGUGAGGCUUAACCUUACA
rnacentral:rRNA from 1 species